UUGCUCUAUUUUAGGGACAUGCUCUUGAUUGGAUGGAUUAAGGGUCAGUGGUAGUAUCAGAUUAAAGGGAAAAUGUGUUAGAAUCAGAACUAUGUUUAUUGACACUUUCUGUUUAUGGCAGGGUUUUUUUUAAACUUGGCAUGAGUGAUUUUUCUUCCCUUCCCCAAGGAGAAGACCUGUGCUUCUGGAAAUGUAUGCUGGUAUAACCCCAUCGUUAAAAAAUUGCUGCUUCAAGUAUGUUUAUUUUUCUGUGGCUAUAAAAGUGACCUCUCUUUAGGUGGAGCACACAUUUAGAAAAAGGAAGGCGAGGGGUUACAAAAAAAGCUUCCUCCUCAGGAAAUGAGAAGCUGGCCUGCUCAUAAGGCACUAGCUUAUCUAACGCUCAACAUGGAUUGAAAACCUUGUCAGAACGGGAAAAUUGCUGGGUAUGAUUUAGUGAGUGACUUGUGCUGUGCUUGGACUUUAUGAGAUUCAGCAAGUUAAUUUCAGUUUCAAUUUGAAACCAUAGUUUUGAGGUGUCAAUUUCCUGGGCUGCUAAUUCAGAAAUGAAAAUAAGCAACAUUAAUGAGUUUACUAAACGUUAGCAGAAUGAGUAUUUCAGACUUAACUUUCUAUGACCACUGCCCAAACCCUCAUCUUCUGAAGUGUGGUAAACACCAAGAUAAAAAAUAUACAACAUAUUGAAAAUAGAGUGGAGGAAGCAUGAAAUCCAUGUCAAGUAACAUGUAUUUUCAUUGAAUCGGAAACAGUUGCUACAGAAGUUCCAGUUCCUUGUGCUGGAGUGUUGCAGAAUCCAGGGAUCUUGUCUCAGAACCACUGCAGAUUGUAGUGACUUAACAAUAGCUAGUUUUAGUUGGUGUCUAACUACUUCUAUUAUAAUUCAUAGAAGUUGUUGUUACAAAUACUACUGUAACUGCACUGCAAGGUAUCUGCAUCCAACAGCACUCUUCUGAUGGGAUGUUCAAAACACAGUGCUAUAGCAAUUCAGCAUUUGGCAUCGUUGGUUUUCAUGCUGCUGUGUGCUUGUGAAACCUGGUAUUACUGUUGACACAAACUUGAGUUAUGCUUAGGAAUAGAAUUUAUCCACGUUUAGAUUCCAUACAAUAUAAGAGCCCUCUACAGCUGGUCAGUAAAUGCACCAUUAACUGUUUUUCUUUUUAAAGGGGACUUAAUUCCGCUACUACGCAGACCACAUUUCAUUGUGAUGAGAGUAGUUGGAAAGACAGUAUCAUGACACCAACUCGUUUGGCAGGUUGGAGACCACUGACUUAGGACAACAGCUGUUUCAUAUUAAGCAGAAAACUUCCAAGUAAG